GGCAGUUUGGCUGCGGGUGUGUGAAGGGAGUCAGUGUGGAGGCCACAGGGUACUCGCCACGAUGAGCAGCACCUUAGCUAAAAUCGCGGAGAUAGAAGCCGAGAUGGCUUGGACUCAAAAGAACAAGGCCACAGCACACCACCUGGGGCUGCUUAAGGCUCAUCUUGCUAAGCUUCGUCAAGAACUCAUUACUCCAAAGGGUGGUGGUGGGGGAGGUCCAGGAGAAGGUUUUGAUGUGGGCAAGACAGGUGAUGCUCGAAUUGGAUUUGUUGGUUUUCCAUCUGUGGGGAAGUCGACACUGCUUAGUAACCUGGCAGGGGUAUAUUCUGAGGUGGCAGCCUAUGAUUUCACUACUCUGACCACUGUGCCUGGUGUCAUCAGAUACAAAGGUGCCAAGAUCCAGCUCCUGGAUCUCCCAGGUAUCAUUGAAGGUGCCAAGGAUGGGAAAGGUAGAGGUCGUCAAGUCAUUGCAGUGGCCCGAACCUGUAACUUGAUCAUGAUUGUUCUGAAUGUCCUGAAACCUUUGGGACAUAAGAAGAUAAUUGAAAAUGAGCUGGAAGGCUUUGGCAUUCGCUUGAACAGCAAACCCCCCAACAUUGACUUUAAGAAGAAAGACAAGGGAGGCAUUAAUCUCACAGCCACUUGCCCCCAGAGUGAGCUAGAUGCUGAAACUGUGAAGAGCAUUCUGGCCGAAUACAAGAUUCAUAAUGCUGAUGUGACUCUACGUAGUGAUGCUACAGCUGAUGACCUCAUUGAUGUGGUGGAAGGAAACAGG